UAUAUAAACUGAAACGCGGGGGGGUUUCUUCGAGAUACCUUUUCCAAGUCUAGUGGUGAGGUUCGGUUUAUACCAUGUAUUUUAGGAUUGAGUAGUGGUAGGACCAGUCAGGCCCUUUAAAAUGUAGGCACUUACCGAGUAACAAAAUAGUUUUAAAAAUGUAUAUUAAAGUACGGAGUAUAGCUAAAGAGGUGGCAAGUCCCGUUAGCGCAUAAAAUGGCGGAGUCAUCGCCCGGUUGACGAGUACUGCGUAGAUCCUCUUAUUUUUGAUUGUAUAAAGCAGGGGAAGACGUUUUUUUAAGGAUAAGAUGUAAGACCCCGUAAGGUUCCGUCGUUUACAACAUGGCCGCCUGUCCCAUCUACAGAACUAUAGACACAUAGUUUCAUCAAUUUACCGACUCGUUAACGUGGACGACGCAGGAUGGACCCUAGAUAUUCACCAGUAUUAAUAACACCUUCGUAAUUUAGAACAAAAAUAAUUAAAAUUCAAGAUGUUUUAUUAUUAUGUUGGCGGCGUCAGGCAGGCUUAUUAUCAGCGGAUCUUAGGCAGCGAUGUUAGUUACAAAA